rnacentral:rRNA from 1 species
AAGACCUUGCGCUUUUGGAGCGGCCGAUGCCUGAUUAGCUAGUUGGUGAGGUAAUGGCUCACCAAGGCGUCGAUCAGUAGUUGGUCUGAGAGGACGACCAGCCACACUGGGACUGAGACACGGCCCAGACUCCUACGGGAGGCAGCAGUGGGGAAUUUUGGACAAUGGGCGCAAGCCUGAUCCAGCCAUGCCGCGUGAGUGAAGAAGGCCCUCGGGUUGUAAAGCUCUUUCAGUCGAGAAGAAAAGGUUACGACUAAUAAUCGUGAUCCAUGACGGUAUCGACAGAAGAAGCACCGGCUAACUACGUGCCAGCAGCCGCGGUAAUACGUAGGGUGCAAGCGUUAAUCGGAAUUACUGGGCGUAAAGGGUGCGCAGGCGGCUUUGUAAGUCAGAUGUGAAAUCCCCGGGCUUAACCUGGGAACU